rnacentral:rRNA from 1 species
AAGGUUAAGUUAAUAAGGGCGCACGGUGGAUGCCUUGGCACUAGAAGCCGAAGAAGGACGUGACAAACGACGAAAUGCUUUGGGGAGCUGUAAGUAAGCGCUGAUCCAGAGAUGUCCGAAUGGGGGAACCCACUAACUAAUGGUUAGUAUCCAUAACUGUUAAGGUUAUGAGAAGGAAGACGCAGUGAACUGAAACAUCUAAGUAGCUGCAGGAAGAGAAAGCAAACGCGAUUGCCUUAGUAGCGGCGAGCGAAACGGCAGGAGGGCAAACCGAAGUGUUUACACUUCGGGGUUGUAGGACUGCGACGUGGGACUUUAAAAGGAUAGAAGAAUUACCUGGGAAGGUAAGCCAAAGAGAGUAAAAGCCUCGUAUUUAAAAUUCUUUUGAGCCCUAGCAGUAUCCUGAGUACGGCGAGACACGUGAAAUCUCGUUGGAAUCUGGGAGGACCAUCUCCCAACCCUAAAUACUCUCUAGUGACCGAUAGUGAACCAGUACCGUGAGGGAAAGGUGAAAAGCACCCCGGGAGGGGAGUGAAAUAGAACCUGAAACCGUGUGCCUACAACAAGUUCGAGCCCGUUAAUGGGUGAGAGCGUGCCUUUUGUAGAAUGAACCGGCGAGUUACGAUAUGAUGCGAGGUUAAGUUGAAGAGACGGAGCCGUAGGGAAACCGAGUCUUAAUAGGGCGAUUUAGUAUCAUGUUGUAGACCCGAAACCAUGUGACCUACCCAUGAGCAGGUUGAAGGUGAGGUAAAACUCACUGGAGGACCGAACCAGGGCACGUUGAAAAGUGCUUGGAUGACUUGUGGGUAGCGGAGAAAUUCCAAACGAACUUGGAGAUAGCUGGUUCUCUCCGAAAUAGCUUUAGGGCUAGCGUCGAUGUUAAGUCUCUUGGAGGUAGAGCACUGUUUGGGUGAGGGGUCCAUCUCGGAUUACCAAUCUCAGAUAAACUCCGAAUGCCAACGAGAUAUCAUCGGCAGUCAGACUGCGAGUGCUAAGAUCCGUAGUCGAAAGGGAAACAGCCCAGACCACCAGCUAAGGUCCCAAAAUAACUGUUAAGUGGAAAAGGAUGUGGGGUUGCACAGACAACUAGGAUGUUAGCUUAGAAGCAGCUAUUCAUUCAAAGAGUGCGUAAUAGCUCACUAGUCGAGUGACCCUGCGCCGAAAAUGUACCGGGGCUAAAACAGUUUACCGAAGCUGUGGAUGACACAAAAGUGUCAUGGUAGGAGAGCGUUCUAUGUGUGAAGAAGGUGUACCGUGAGGAGCGCUGGAACGCAUAGAAGUGAGAAUGCCGGUAUGAGUAGCGAAAGACAGGUGAGAAUCCUGUCCACCGUAAGACUAAGGUUUCCAGGGGAAGGCUCGUCCGCCCUGGGUUAGUCGGGACCUAAGGAGAGACCGAAAGGUGUAUCCGAUGGCCAACAGGUUGAUAUUCCUGUACUAGAGUAUAUAGUGAUGGAGGGACGCAGUAGGCUAACUAAACCGGACGAUUGGAAGAGUCCGGCUAAGCAGUGAGGUGUAAGAUGAGUCAAAUGCUUAUCUUUAUAACAUUGAGCUGUGAUGGGGAGCGAAUUUUAGUAGCGAAGUUAGUGAUGUCACACUGCCAAGAAAAGCUUCUAGCGUUUAAUGAUACUCUACCCGUACCGCAAACCGACACAGGUAGUCGAGGCGAGUAGCCUCAGGUGAUCGAGAGAACUCUCGUUAAGGAACUCGGCAAAAUGACCCCGUAACUUCGGGAGAAGGGGUGCUGACUUAGGUCAGCCGCAGUGAAUAGGCCCAAGCAACUGUUUAUCAAAAACACAGCUCUCUGCUAAAUCGUAAGAUGAUGUAUAGGGGGUGACGCCUGCCCGGUGCUGGAAGGUUAAGAGGAGGGUUUAGCGCAAGCGAAGAUCUGAAUUGAAGCCCCAGUAAACGGCGGCCGUAACUAUAACGGUCCUAAGGUAGCGAAAUUCCUUGUCGGGUAAGUUCCGACCCGCACGAAAGGCGUAAUGAUUUGGGCACUGUCUCAACGAGAGACUCGGUGAAAUUUUAGUACCUGUGAAGAUGCAGGUUACCCGCGACAGGACGGAAAGACCCCAUGGAGCUUUACUGCAGUUUGAUAUUGAGUAUCUGUACCACAUGUACAGGAUAGGUAGGAGCCAUUGACUUCGGGACGCCAGUUUCGAAUGAGGCGCUGUUGGGAUACUACCCUUGUGUUAUGGCUACUCUAACCCAGAUAGGUUAUCCCUAUCGGAGACAGUGUCUGACGGGCAGUUUGACUGGGGCGGUCGCCUCCUAAAGAGUAACGGAGGCGCCCAAAGGUUCYCUCAGAUUGGUUGGAAAUCAAUCGCAGAGUGUAAAGGUAUAAGGGAGCUUGACUGCGAGAGCUACAACUCGAGCAGGGACGAAAGUCGGGCUUAGUGAUCCGGUGGUACCGAAUGGAAGGGCCAUCGCUCAACGGAUAAAAGCUACCCUGGGGAUAACAGGCUUAUCUCCCCCAAGAGUUCACAUCGACGGGGAG